rnacentral:rRNA from 1 species
AAUCAUGGCUCAGGAUGAACGCUAGCUACAGGCUUAACACAUGCAAGUCGAGGGGCAGCAUGGACCCAGCUUUGCUGGGUUUGAUGGCGACCGGCGCACGGGUGAGUAACGCGUAUCCAACCUGCCCUUUACUCCGGGAUAGUCUCCUGAAAGGGAGUUUAAUACCGGAUGUGUUUGUCUUUCCGCAUGGGAGCGACAAAUAAAGAAUUAAUUUAGGUUAAAGGAAGUGGGGAGUGCGUCCCACUUAGCUUGUUGGUCGGGG